CCUACGGGAGGCAGCAGUGGGGAAUUUUGGACAAUGGGCGCAAGCCUGAUCCAGCAAUGCCGCGUGAGUGAAGAAGGCCUUCGGGUUGUAAAGCUCUUUUGUCAGGGAAGAAACGGCUGAGGCUAAUAUCCUCGGCUAAUGACGGUACCUGAAGAAUAAGCACCGGCUAACUACGUGCCAGCAGCCGCGGUAAUACGUAGGGUGCAAGCGUUAAUCGGAAUUACUGGGCGUAAAGCGUGCGCAGGCGGUUUUGUAAGUCUGUCGUGAAAGCCCCGGGCUUAACCUGGGAAUUGCGAUGGAGACUGCAAGGCUUGAAUCUGGCGGAGGGGGGUAGAAUUCCACGUGUAGCAGUGAAAUGCGUAGAGAUGUGGAGGAACACCGAUGGCGAAGGCAGCCCCCUGGGUCAAGAUUGACGCUCAUGCACGAAAGCGUGGGGAGCAAACAGGAUUAGAUACCCUGGUAGUCCACGCCCUAAACGAUGUCUACUAGUUGUCGGGUCUUAAUUGACUUGGUAACGCAGCUAACGCGUGAAGUAGACCGCCUGGGGAGUACGGUCGCGAAGAUUAAAACUCAAAUGAAUUGACGG
rnacentral:rRNA from 1 species